UACAGAGGGUGCGAGCGUUAAUCGGAAUUACUGGGCGUAAAGGGCUCGUAGGCGGUCGUUCAAGUCGCGUGUGAAAGCCCCCGGCUCAACUGGGGAGGGUCACGCGAUACUGAUCGACUCGAAGGCAGGAGAGGGUAGUGGAAUUCCCGGUGUAGUGGUGAAAUGCGUAGAUAUCGGGAGGAACACCAGUGGCGAAGGCGACUACCUGGCCUGUUUCUUGACGCUGAGGCGCGAAAGCUAGGGGAGCAAACGGG
rnacentral:rRNA from 1 species